UACAGAGGGGGCAAGCGUUGUUCGGAAUUACUGGGCGUAAAGGGCGCGUAGGCGGCCUUCUAAGUCAGACGUGAAAUCCCUCGGCUCAAUCGGGGAACUGCGUCUGAGACUGGAAGGCUUGAAUCCGGGAGAGGGAUGUGGAAUUCCAGGUGUAGCGGUGAAAUGCGUAGAUAUCUGGAGGAACACCUAUUGCGAAGGCAGCUCGCUGGGACGUUACUGACGCUGAGACGCGAAAGCGUGGGGAGCAAACAGG
rnacentral:rRNA from 1 species